CCCUACGGGACGCAGCAGUGAGGAAUAUUGGUCAAUGGUCGGGAGACUGAACCAGCCAAGCCGCGUGAGGGAUGAAGGUACAGAGUAUCGUAAACCUCUUUUGUCAGGGAACAAAGGCGGGGACGUGUCCCCGGAUGAGUGUACCUGAAGAAAAAGCAUCGGUUAACUCCGUGCCAGCAGCCGCGGUAAUACGGAGGAUGCGAGCGUUAUACGGAUUUAUUGGGUUUAAAGGGUGCGCAGGCGGUCUGUUAAGUCAGCGGGCAAAGACCGGGGCUAAACCCCGG
rnacentral:rRNA from 1 species